rnacentral:rRNA from 1 species
UGCGUAGGGUGCAAGCGUUGUCCGGAAUUAUUGGGCGUAAAGAGCUCGUAGGCGGUUUGUCACGUCUGCUGUGAAAUCCCGAGGCUCAACCUCGGGCCUGCAGUGGGUACGGGCAGACUGGAGUGCGGUAGGGGAGAAUGGAAUUCCUGGUGUAGCGGUGGAAUGCGCAGAUAUCAGGAGGAACACCGAUGGCGAAGGCAGUUCUCUGGGCCGUAACUGACGCUGAGGCGCGAAAGCGUGGGGAGCGAACAGG